rnacentral:tRNA from 1 species
UCCUUAGUAGCUCAGUGGUUAGAGCGAACGGCUGUUAACCGUUAGGUCGUAGGUUCGAUCCCUACCUGAGGAG